CCCAUGAAAGGAUCAGCCUCCUAAGACCAAGAUCAGCAAUCAUACUCUUCUUUUUCUUCACUCCAGCCAUCUGCUAACAAGAAAAGAAAGGCAAAUAUCUUGGGAAUAAGAACCCAGUUGGGAUAAAUAUUCCAGGAUGCUUUGAAUGUCAAGGCCUGCCUUCCAAGUUUACCUUGCUUCCUGUGAGCCUUGAAAAACCGAAAAUAAGCUUUGGAAGAGAUGCCAAGUAGAAGUUUGCAUGGGGAGAAGAUACUAGUGAGAACGAAGCAUAUAAAACUGGGCCCAGGACUAUGAUAGGAAGAAGUCAAAUUAAAGAGAAGGUACAGAGUAGGAAAUGUAUUAGUAACGUGUGAAAGCAUUUGGAGCCUGCAGCCAAGAAGAGGGAGAGAGAGGGAAAGAAGGGGAAGAAAAGCAAAGAGCUCAGAAGAGGGACUUUUCUUCUAUUGCCAGUUUCUUCUGUACUUUUGCCCAGAUCAAUAGAGGAAGUCAAAAGAAAAACAAAAAUGAAAACAUGCAAAUGGCAACUUUAGGUGGUAACAUUUCAUUCAGCUUCUCUGCCUUCUCUGGACUAGUGGAUGGAGUGGAAAUUUAUGGGCUCCCAGUUCCUAUCAUGAGCAGCUGGAGAUCUCAACUUCAUCUUGGAGCCCUACCUCACAAAAGCAUUUCAAGUUCUCAAGGCGUGUCCCAUGGCUGGAAUGAUGUGCUUCACAGAGAAAGGUUAAGGAAACAAACAUUCACCUUCAGUGUUGGAAUCUACGGAAGCAAAUACCAACUAAAACAUGACCAAAAGUCAAUUGAAGGAGAAACAGAACAGAUUGGAAUUCCUUGUGGCCCCCCUCCUGGUUUCUUUGAGGCCCCAGGCAAGUGAGCAUGUGCUAAUUUGCAUGGUUGACUAAAUGGCAUGCUUAGACCCCAAAUUUGCAUCUCUGCUUGGGUUCAAAAGUGGGUCCUGGAGCCAGUUUCCCUUGGCUCCUCUGUUAUUUCCCAUUCGCUAAGUCAAACCCCUUUGGGAGCGCUGCUCACCAGGGUAUAGAGAAGUGCAGAGAAGCAAUAAAGGCUGAGCCCCGUUCUUGCUCUAAUGUGGGGUACAGCCAGCUGGUACUGAUGUGAUGGGAUAAGGUAGCGGAGAGAGAGAGAGAGCUGGAAGGAGCAGGAGGUAAUCUCCCAGGCAACGUGCAAAAGUUCUGGAGUGACUUGCCUCACUCACUCCCUUUCCAGUGGAGUUCAGCUGUCUAUACUUGAGCCUGCACAGUUUUAAUCCUCCUUCCUCCUCCCAGUCUCAAAUGGGAAGGAGAGAUUAAAGGCAAGUUGAAUAGCUUUAUGUAAACCAUAGAUUUCUCUGUGCUCCAAUUUCCUUACCUGUGAAAUGGGACUCGAAUACUUGCCUGGUCUAAUACACUGGACAGGCAGAAGGGGUGUAAUGAUAUUUUGAGAUUACUUAAGAUCCAAUAAAGAAAAAUAAAGUUCCUCUUGUCCACUGCAUUGAGAAAGCUUCUGAAACAGAAGGGAAGGUCCUUGGGAAGAAUGCCAGGAUCGGUGCUUAAUAACUGCC
rnacentral:lncRNA from 1 species